UACGAAGGGGGCUAGCGUUGUUCGGAAUCACUGGGCGUAAAGGGCGCGUAGGCGGCUUUGUAAGUCGGGGGUGAAAGCCUGUGGCUCAACCACAGAAUUGCCUUCGAUACUGCAUGGCUUGAGACCGGAAGAGGUAAGUGGAACUGCGAGUGUAGAGGUGAAAUUCGUAGAUAUUCGCAAGAACACCAGUGGCGAAGGCGGCUUACUGGUCCGGUUCUGACGCUGAGACGCGAAAGCGUGGGGAGCGAACAGG
rnacentral:rRNA from 1 species